CAAACUGGGAUUAGAUACCCCACUAUGCUUAGCCCUAAACACAAGUAAUUAAUAUAACAAAAUUAUUCGCCAGAGUACUACCGGCAAUAGCUUAAAACUCAAAGGACUUGGCGGUGCUUUAUACCCUUCUAGAGGAGCCUGUUCU
rnacentral:rRNA from 1 species